GACGGCCUGGCUGGCGGAGGGGCUGCUGCCGUUUCUGCCGGCGGCCGCGCAGGAAGCGCUGUUCGCCUCGAUCGACGCGUUGAGCGGUCCC
rnacentral:tRNA from 1 species